GAACUUAAGCAUAUCAAUAAGGCGAGGAACAGAAACCAACAGGGAUUCCCCUAGUAGUGGCGAAUGAAGCGGGAAAAGCUCAAGUUUGAAAUCCAGCGGCUCGUCCUCUGGAGUUGUAAGCUGAAGAGGCUGUGACCGACGUGGGCCGGGUCCAAUUCCCUUGGAACAGGGAGUCAUGGAGGGUGAGAACCCCGUCUGUGACUCGGGUCCCAUCGUCCUAGCGCCGCGGUCUCCAAGAGUCGGGUUGUUUGGGAAUGCAGCUCAAAAUGGGUGGUAAAUCUCAUCUAAAGCUAAAUAUUGGCGAGAGACCGAUAGCAAACGAGUAGAGUGAUCGAAAGAUGAAAAGCACUUUGAAAAGAGAGUGAAACAGUACGUGAAAUUGUUGAAAGGGAAGCGUUUGGCAUCAGCCCAUGGCCUCCGACGAUCAUCCGGGCCUCGUGUCCGGUGCACUUGUCGGGGGUCGGGCCAGCAUCGGCUUCGUCCGCCGGAGAAAGGUCCAGAGGAUGUGGCUCCCCUCGUGGGAGCGUUAUAACUCUGGACGUCAUACGACGUGACGGGGCCGAGGUCCACG
rnacentral:rRNA from 1 species